rnacentral:rRNA from 1 species
UGGAUCCAGACUUUGAUAUGGCUCAGGAUGAACGCGGGCGGCGUGCUUAACACAUGCAAGUCGAACGGAGGACCCUUGAAGGAGUUUUCGGACAACUGAUAGGAAUCCUUAGUGGCGGACGGGUGAGUAACGCGUGAGUAACCUGCCUUGGAGUGGGGAAUAACAGCUGGAAACAGCUGCUAAUACCGCAUAAUAUAUCUGAAUCGCAUGGUUCUGGAUAUCAAAGAUUUAUCGCUCUGAGAUGGACUCGCGUCUGAUUAGCUAGUUGGCGGGGCAACGGCCCACCAAGGCGACGAUCAGUAGCCGGACUGAGAGGUUGGCCGGCCACAUUGGGACUGAGACACGGCCCAGACUCCUACGGGAGGCAGCAGUGGGGAAUAUUGGGCAAUGGGCGCAAGCCUGACCCAGCAACGCCGCGUGAAGGAAGAAGGCUUUCGGGUUGUAAACUUCUUUUCUCAGGGACGAAUAGAUGACGGUACCUGAGGAAUAAGCCACGGCUAACUACGUGCCAGCAGCCGCGGUAAUACGUAGGUGGCAAGCGUUAUCCGGAUUUACUGGGUGUAAAGGGCGUGUAGGCGGGACUGCAAGUCAGAUGUGAAAACCACGGGCUCAACCUGUGGCCUGCAUCUGAAACUGUAGUUCUUGAGUACUGGAGAGGCAGACGGAAUUCCUAGUGUAGCGGUGAAAUGCGUAGAUAUUAGGAGGAACACCAGUGGCGAAGGCGGUCUGCUGGACAGCAACUGACGCUGAGGCGCGAAAGCGUGGGGAGCAAACAGGAUUAGAUACCCUGGUAGUCCACGCUGUAAACGAUGGAUACUAGGUGUGGGGGGACUGACCCCCUCCGUGCCGCAGUUAACACAAUAAGUAUCCCACCUGGGGAGUACGAUCGCAAGGUUGCAACUCAAAUGAAUUGACGGA